CCCCGCCCCCAGCUCGUACCUGCACUGCGAGUGGGCGACGAUCGCGCAGCUGGAGAAGGACAAGAGGAUCCACCAGAAGCUCAAGCGCUUCAAGACCAAGAUGAACCAGAUGCGCCACUUCUUCCACGAGGAUGAGGAGCCCUUCAACCCCGACUACGUGGAGGUGGAUCGGAUCCUGGACGAGUCCCACAGCGUGGACAAGGACAACGGCGAGCCCGUGGUGUAUUACCUGGUGAAGUGGGA